GUUUCUGCAACAUAGGCCAUAGCUUGUCCUUCUGGUCAUGCAUACAAGUUGCAAUGAUCUGCUUGAUAGGUUCAUAGCAGAACUGAACAAAUCCACGCUUGCACGUUGCAGAUCCAGUGUUCUUGGUGGUCCAUUUCUUGGUGGCAGGGUCAAAGAAGUUCUCACCCCAAAGCCUCUCCAUCAUCUUAGCCUCAUCUACUCCAAAUUUAGAGGCAUACAUCUUUGCAAAGUUAGUCAGGGUGAAAGCCCAACCGUGCAAACCAGCAGAGAAAGCAACUG
rnacentral:misc_RNA from 1 species